UUUAAACUCACAUUUUAAAAUAUUUCUAUGAAUUAAAUAGGGUUUUUCUCAAUAUUGCAAAAAGUCAAUAUCACAAUUUAAUCAAUAAUGACAAAAUCACAAUAAUAAAUACUCCCAAUAAUUUCAGAAAUUACGGUAGUUAUAUUAGUAAACAGGUUUAAGGUUGAAGUCACUUUCUGCUCAAUCAUAUUAGUACAAUCAGAUAACAAUCACAUCUCAUGACUACACAAAGGCAUUUGAGUAACAUUUAUACGUAUUGUUAAUAAUGUAUAUUUAUAUAGUUGUAUGUAAGAAAGUUUGUGUUUGUACACACUUUUGAUUCAAUCAUUUACUCCAUUUUUUGUGGUACAGUGUAAACUGUGUUGUACUUAUUUUAAAACUGACCUAAUAUUUAUGGGUCAAUUGAGCAAUUAAUCUUAUCAAACCAAUCACUUUUGAAUUUAUCAAUGUUGUCAGAUACUGCCACAUUUUUCUUGUUGUGAUGCAACAAUAUUAUGUGAAAACGGUUUGAGUUAUUUCAAUUGCAGUCAAACUGAAAUUUGUUGUAUAUAUAUAUAUAUAUAUGUUAUGUUGUCUGACUUAUGAUUGCUUUCAUCUUAUUUUUUGUGACGUGAUAUAAUUAGUUUUUGAAAAAUGUAAUACUUUUUGUUUAGCCAAAAAAAUAGAUCUAUUUGAGUUAUAAUUAUUUUGAAUAAAAAUUCUGACAAUCAGUUCCAGACUCUAUGUAAAUAGUCAUCCUAAUGUACUAUUGUAAAUCAUGUAAAUGUAGCCAUUCUAAUAAAUGGCUUUUUUAAAAGUUUGUAAUGUGUUUCUGAAUCU
rnacentral:lncRNA from 1 species